rnacentral:lncRNA from 1 species
AUGGGUGCAGGGGCCCAAGGAUUUGUCCCUCUUCUGCAGAGAGCUGCACCGGAAGUGGAGCAGCCGGGACUCGAACCUGCGCCCAUGUGGAUGCAGGCGCUGCGGGCGGUGGCUUUACCCGCUCCCCCACAGCGCCGGCCCCUCCUGGGAGCCUUUCCCCGUGGGAUCCAGCUGUCUGCUGCCAUGCCUAGGAAAGCAGAGGGAGACGGCCCAAGGACUCAGGCCCCUGAACCCAGAGUGGAGCACCAGAUACAGUCCCCGGCUUCUGCUUCGGCCCGGCCUGGCCCCGGCCUUAGUAGCCACCUGGGGGUUGAACCCCCAGAGGGACGAUCCGUGAGAGAGAGCAAGACGCAAGAGUGCUCGCGAUGCCCGGUGCUCUGCUUCUCUCCCCAAGCGGCUCCAACGCCAGCGCCGGGCCAGGCAGAAGCCAGGAGGCUUGACCUCCAUUCAGGGCGCCCAGGAGGCCGGGAGGCGUGGUCCUGGGUCACAGGCUGGAGAGGCCGCCCCGCCAGCGGCCCUGGGGCGUCGGACGCUGGACGCGGCAGGCAGUGCGCAGGUGCGUCCGGUGGCGCCACGGUGGCCACCCGUGGGGAGUGCGCCUGCGCCCGGCGCUGUGCCCCGGAAGUGGCCCCUUGUGCCCCGGAAGUGGCCCCUUGUGGCCCGCGGCGCUCAGGUAGGAGUCCUCGCGGGUCCCGUCCGCUGCUGCCGGAGAGCCCGCGCGAGCCGUCGGGAGCAGGCCUGGACGCUGCCGGCGGAGCCUGCGGGAGACCCAGCGCCCCCGGGGUCAGGCCGGGCUCAGAGAGGCUGCGGCCCGAGGCUGCCGCGCCGUUUCCCGGGCACGGUUCUCUUCUUCGGCCCUUCGUGGAAGCAGCGGCCUUCGCGGGCCCCUGUGCCGCCAGCAGACCGGGCCCCCUUGGCAGUACAUCUCCUGCUCAGCCAUCCUCAGAUGGAAGUCUGCUCCUCAUCUGUUCCUGCCCAAAAGCCUGUUCAAGUCUUGAGGAGCCGUCCUCGAUGCUGUUGGCGGAGCCUGAGUGAGACCCAGUGCUCUGGGGUCAGGCCUGAAUCAGAGACACUGCAGCCCGGGACAGCCGCAUCAGUUACCUUGCCCUUCUGGAAAUGUGUAGGCGCGGGCCUCUUCUUGGGCAGCUUCCGGAAGUCUACCCCUCGGGCCUCGGCUCCUGUUCCAGAGGAGCAGAAACGCUUUUUGUUUGCUGAGUUGGGCGCGAUGGCCUUCCCGUCGUCGCGGGGUAGGUGGGGCCUGGGGUGCAGGUAGCAGGCAAGGGGUGUGCAUGUGAGGGGUGGAGGGGAGAGGAGGAGGAGAGAGGCGGCCAAGGGAGAUUCGGGAGGAGAGAGGAAGGGGGGAGAAGGAAAAGGUGGCGUGAAGGUGGGGUGGCGUGGAAGGAAGGGGAAGGAAGGGUGUGGGGCAGCGUCGAGGGAGGGCGAGUGUGACAGGAGUGCCGGUGGGCGGGUGGAGGCGGGGGUUGGGAGAGGAAGAACUUUUCCCACGGCCCGGGUUCCGUUUUGGGGGUUUCCUGGCCCUGGCCGGAAUCAGUCUUGGCCGCGUCCGUGAGAAGCCUCUUAGACACACACUUGAGUGUCCUGCAGGUACCGCAGACUUCCUGUUCCAUUCAAACCUGCUCCACACAUUGCACUGAUCUCUGUAUUGGCGGCUCCAUCUGACUUGCCUUCCAAGUUGGCAAGCUUGGCAGCACCCUCUUUACCAGCAUCUGUCUCCUAGUAGUCACCGAAUCUAUGUCAGUGGUGGCUCAGGUCCUACACAAGCCCUCAGGACGAGGCUGCCUGCUGCCAAGUCUCAUUGCUCUCCGGAUUCUUUCUUCCAGGCUUUUCUGCUUCAGGCCUGCAUACCUAGAAAGCACAGGGGACUGUCUGAUCUUUUCUCAUCUCCUCUUGCAUACUUUCAAAAGCCCUAAUCCCUUAGGGGGGCAUUCCAAGGCCUUGUUCUCAGGUCUGUUCACAGCUUCCUUUUCCAAGCUGCACAGCCCCUGCUUCUGUCAUGCCAGACUUGCCACUGCUCUGCAGAUAGGCAGCCACUACUUGAUGUUCCUCAGUGUUUUCAGCUUGAGAAAGUGGUAGCCAUGUUUCAAAAUAUCCAACUCAAGGGUCUUCCUUCUCUGUGAUACUUUUCUCUCAUCCUCCCAGGCAGGGAUACGUUUCCAGAACUUGCAUAACACACUGCUUAUCUUCGUAAAGCGCUUAGCCCAUUUUAUCAGCAUGUAUUUGCUAAAUACCUGUAUCUCAUAGAAGACUGUGAGCUUGUCCAGGGCAGGCCUUUUCUCUCUGCUUUCAUUCCUGUAGUCCCUGGUACACAGUUGGUAUUCAGCCUAUGCAGAACUAACAAUACACUCACUGGUGGGUCUUGGGACAGGAACUGAUGGUUUAUGAAGGGUCUGGUCUCAAGAACAAGGGCACGAGGGCCAAGGAAGGAGACAGCAACAGAAUCAGCAUUCUUGAAGCACUUUCACUUGUCAGGGUUCUUAGUGUACCAUCGUCUCAUUUCUAAAUAACAGCACAAGGAGGGAAAGCAAGAGUUUUAUUUAAUUAUACCACAUUGUACUGUUUAAUCCUCUUCAAAGCUCUGUGAGGAAGGCACUGCUGAUCCCCUUUGAAAUAGGAGGCUAAAGGAGGUGGGCACCUGCCCUAGGCCAUAUAUCAAAAACAGUAAAGCCCCAGUUUAAAACCUGCUCUGCUGUGUCCCUCCUGGGGUUGGAACCCCAGGUUCCAGUAGUUCUAGAGGUGGCGUAUCAGAGAGGUGUAGCUCAUGAAAACCAGUGGUACUUUUCUUUUGGGCUUGUCUUUGUAUGGAGCAGAACCACAGGCACUUGUCCUAUGUUACUAAGGACCCUUCUUAAUAACUCUUUCGCCUCAUGCUGUGAUUUGUUAAUAUAGGUCCUGUGUCCUGGUUCCCACCAGUGGUCAUCUUUCUUUGAGCUAUCGGAGGAGUCUGAGGUGGGCAUCUUGCCACCCGGGGACUGGAACUGACUUUUGAGAGGGACCCUUAGGUAUGAAAGGAGAUUUGCUGGUAGGGUUAAGACCAGAGGGUUUGAGGGGUCCACAAGGUCCCUGGCGAUUAGUCUUUGUUUCUUAUUUCUUUAUUUCAAAGGAAGAGAGAAAUAUUUCAUCCCUUAGUUUCCUUCCCUAGUGCCCACAACAGCUGGAACUGUAUCUGAAGCCAGGGCCUGGGAACUCAAUCCAAGUCUCCUAUGUGAGUGGCAGGGAUGUAAGUACUUGAGUCUUCACCUGCUGCCUCCCAGGGUGGAUUAGCAGGAAGCUGGAAUCAGGACUUCAGCCAGGACUUGAUCCUGGGCACUCUAACAUGGGCUGUGGGGAUUCCAGCAGUGGCUUAGCCACUAUACCAGAAGCCAUUCCUUGAUUAGUCUUCCGUUCCCUCCUUCACAGGGUGGCUGGCUGCUUGGGAGGGGUUUGCAUCACCACUGCUAACAGGGCCUGCUGCAUAAUUUUGUGAGCGCCUUGUUCCUAAGGCAGGGAUAAAGUGCCACUAAAGGUACUAAGUCAUAAAGCUCUUUCCUUUCUCCCGCAUACCUCCUUGGCUCAGCCUCAUGUUCUUUGGACUCGCUUACAAACCGAGGAUUUUGAGUCACCACCAGCAGAGGUUUACACCCAGUGAAGGCCCUUCUGAGUACCAGCGCUGUGUGAUGGCUCCUUUGUGACCAUGUAGGCUGCGCUCGUGAGGUUGGCCUUGGCUGCUGAGUAUAACCCAUUGGCUGUGACUGUAUAAGAUUACAUUGUAUUCCAACAUAAGCGGUUGCUAUUUUGUAUGAUAAUUCUGAUAUUUCACCAUUAAAGCAAUGCUGCAGGGAGCAACGUGGAUUAUCCAUACCAGAGCAUUCCUGGAACUGUUUUGAUGACUUGUGUUAGUUCAGAAUCACUAGGUCUUUGCUAGCAUUCUGCAGUAGGCAAUGGCAUUGCAGGCCAGCUCUCUCCCUAGCACAAGGCUAACCGCGUUGAAAUUUACACAGGUGUUGAACAGAUCUCCGCACCUGCAGUGUGGAAAAGACUAGAGCAGUGCCCUCUUGUGCCUGACUGCCCUUCUUUCUGCCUCUUUGCUUUGUACAUUAUUAAAUGUGCUCUCAAACCACUAGGACUCACAGCUGAAAAUAAAGUAGGUUGGUGGACAGUCA